rnacentral:rRNA from 1 species
CCUACGGGGGGCUGCAGUGGGGGAUAUUGCACAAUGGGGGGAACCCUGAUGCAGCGACGCCGCGUGGGUGAAGGAGUAUUUCGGUAUGUAAAGCCCUAUCGGCAGGGAAGAAUUUAGACGGUACCUGACCAAGAAGCCCCGGCUAACUACGUGCCAGCAGCCGCGGUAAUAAGUAGGGGGCAAGCGUUAUCCGGAAUUACUGGGUGUAAAGGGAGCGUAGACGGUGAUGCAAGUCUGGAGUGAAAGGCGGGGGCCCAACCCCCGGACUGCUCUGGAAACUGUGUAACUUGAGUGCAGGAGAGGUAAGCGGAAUUCCUAGUGUAGCGGUGAAAUGCGUAGAUAUUAGGAGGAACACCAGUGGCGAAGGCGGCUUACUGGACUGUAACUGACGUUGAGGCUCGAAAGCGUGGGGAGCAAACAGGAUUAGAUACCCUGGUAGUC